rfam:Stegodyphus mimosarum contig1226, whole genome shotgun sequence.
GUCUUCAUGGUGUAGUGGUCAGCACGCUCGAAGCGUAUUCGAGAGGUCCGUGGUUCGAGUCCCGGCGAGGGCA